GAAGUAGUGCAGCUGGGCAUAAAGCCUAUUAAAUAAAAAUCUUAAAUUGAAUCAAAUCUCUUAUAAUAAUACAUAAAAGCUCUGGGAGGGUUGGGGGUACAUCUGGGUAACAUUUUAACAUUUAAUAUAUUUUGAUGUGUGUGUAUAUAUAUUAACUUUCUUUAUUUUGUUUUCUCAGCCUUUAAACAUCUAAACAUGUCCUCCAAAAAGGAAAAAGGGAAAAACACUGGAAAACAAUUUCAGCCUAAGGUUUGAGAUGGCUAACUGUGUACAUUGCCUUUGUGUACUGCAAGCUGAACUUACAGAUUUAUAUGGACUUUACUUACAGGUUUCCUGUGCUGUUUUGCUCCAUUUUACAGAACAAAAUAAGGCUGAGGUAGCACCAUCCUUGUGGUUAGAGUGAAAGAAUGUGGGUAUUGAGACCAAAAUAAAUAAUGUGCCAUUCUGGACAAACAGCUGUGGACAAUAUAAGCAGUCAGAGUAGCCC